AUUUUUUGGGGAAAAAAAGAAAACUACUCGUUUCUUUCUUUCUCGCAACUUUCUCUCUCUUUCUCACUCGGAAGAACGACAGUCGGUGAUGGUGAAAUCGAAAAUAAAUGCUGCGAUUUCGGUCAUCUGUCGUCUGGGUCAUGAAAUUGGAAGAGUAAUGGCUAUGAACCUAACCUGGGAUUUCCAUCUGCUCUCUUCCUCCUAUCUCUCUCUCUCAUCGAAUUUCUAGUUUGAAGAAGAUUCCGGAGAUGCAAGCAGUUCAAAUAUCUAAAGUUAUGACUAUUGACUGGAAUCUCUGAUGAGUUUGUGAGAAUUGUUGCGUGAGCUCAGCAGGGAAUGGCAAGGACACGCUUAUGAUUUGUUGUCAAAAAGUUGCAAUCACUUCUGCGAUUUACUCUGUCACAAGCUUGGUGUGCCCAAGAUCCGAGAUGAUGGUUUGUUGGUUUGCUGCUUUGUGGUGAACUUGUAUUACGAGUUAAACAAAUUUGAAUUUUCAAAAAUUGAAUUUUCUUUGUUUUUAAGAGACCCUUUGCCAUUGGAGGAGAAAAAAUAUAAGAACAACUUAAGGGUGUCUUAACUUCUAUUUUUUCAAAAUUUAUACUUACAUUAAGGGAAAUUGCAAUCUGCACCCAUGGAAGAUUGAAAAAUUAGGUGGGCAGAAUGACUACUGUUUCAACAGUAAUAAAGAUGAGAAAGUUACUCUACUA